rnacentral:rRNA from 1 species
ACUUAAAUUGAAGAGUUUGAUCAUGGCUCAGAUUGAACGCUGGCGGCAGGCCUAACACAUGCAAGUCGAGCGGUAGCACAGAGAGCUUGCUCUCGGGUGACGAGCGGCGGACGGGUGAGUAAUGUCUGGGAAACUGCCUGAUGGAGGGGGAUAACUACUGGAAACGGUAGCUAAUACCGCAUAACGUCGCAAGACCAAAGUGGGGGACCUUCGGGCCUCAUGCCAUCAGAUGUGCCCAGAUGGGAUUAGCUAGUAGGUGGGGUAACGGCUCACCUAGGCGACGAUCCCUAGCUGGUCUGAGAGGAUGACCAGCCACACUGGAACUGAGACACGGUCCAGACUCCUACGGGAGGCAGCAGUGGGGAAUAUUGCACAAUGGGCGCAAGCCU